rnacentral:rRNA from 1 species
AUUGAACGCUGGCGGAAUGCUUUACACAUGCAAGUCGAACGGCAGCACGGGUGCUUGCACCUGGUGGCGAGUGGCGAACGGGUGAGUAAUAUAUCGGAACGUAUUCAAUAAUGGGGGAUAACUAGCCGAAAGGUUAGCUAAUACCGCAUACGCCCUGAGGGGGAAAGCUGGGGAUCGUAAGACUUAGCGUUGAUGGAGCGGCCGAUAUCUGAUUAGCUAGUUGGUGGGGUAAAGGCCUACCAAGGCGACGAUCAGUAGCUGGUCUGAGAGGACGACCAGCCACACUGGAACUGAGACACGGUCCAGACUCCUACGGGAGGCAGCAGUGGGGAAUUUUGGACAAUGGGGGCAACCCUGAUCCAGCCAUUCCGCGUGAGUGAAGAAGGCCUUCGGGUUGUAAAGCUCUUUCGCAAGGGAAGAAAACUUAUUCUCUAACAUAGGAUAAGGCUGACGGUACCUUGAUAAGAAGCACCGGCUAACUACGUGCCAGCCGCCGCCGUAAUAC